AUUGAACGCUGGCGGCAGGCCUAACACAUGCAAGUCGAGCGAGCGGCGGACGGGUGAGUAAUGUAUGGGGACUGCCCGAUAGAGGGGGAUAACUACUGGAAACGGUGGCUAAUACCGCAUACUAUCGGAUAACCCAUAUGGGAUUAUCUAGUCGGUGGGGUAAAGGCUCACCUAGGCGACGCUCCCUAGCUGGUCUGAGAGGGUGAUCGGCCACACUGGGACUGAGACACGGCCCAGACUCCUACGGAGGCAGCAGUGGGGAAUAUUGCGCAAUGGGCGAAAGCCUGAUGGAGCCAUGCCGCGUGUGUGAAGAAGGCCUUAGGGUUGUAAAGUCCUUUCGUCAGAGAAGCGUUACCCGCCCAGGAAGCACCGGCUAACUCCGUGCCAGCAGCCGCGGUAAUAC
rnacentral:rRNA from 1 species